GCCUAUGGCAUACUGCCCUGAGAGCGCCCGGUCUCACCUGAUCUCGGAAGCUAAGCAGGGUCGGGCCCGGUUAGUACUUGGAUGGGAGACCACCAGGGAAUACCGGGUGCUGUAGGCC
ensembl:rRNA 5S_rRNA 5S ribosomal RNA